rnacentral:rRNA from 2 species
UAGGGAAUCUUCGGCAAUGGGGGGAACCCUGACCGAGCAACGCCGCGUGAGUGAAGAAGGUUUUCGGAUCGUAAAGCUCUGUUGUUAAGGAAGAACGAGUGUGAGAAUGGAAAGUUCAUGCUGUGACGGUACUUAACCAGAAAGGGACGGCUAACUACGUGCCAGCAGCCGCGGUAAUACGUAGGUCCCGAGCGUUGUCCGGAUUUAUUGGGCGUAAAGCGAGCGCAGGCGGUUAGAAAAGUCUGAAGUGAAAUGCAGUGGCUCAACCAUUGUAGGCUUUGGAAACUGUUUAACUUGAGUGCAGAAGGGGAGAGUGGAAUUCCAUGUGUAGCGGUGAAAUGCGUAGAUAUAUGGAGGAACACCGGUGGCGAAAGCGGCUCUCUGGUCUGUAACUGACGCUGAGGCUCGAAAGCGUGGGGAGCGAACAGG